CUCUGGAAAGCUCCAGGGGAAAUUUGAGGCAUAACCCAGCUUCUCUGAGACGGAACUCAGGGAGGAUCCAGCUCAAUCCUACAGAGGCGACCCCAAGGAAGGACCUGCCCAGGGUCACUUGGAGAGCUGGGCGGGAGGAGGGAGAAACCUCCCCCGUUCAGAGUGACAAAGCCCCCCUUGCCUCAGGGAUGGCUGAGAUCCAAGUCCUCAAAACACGCCGCCAUCUGGAGGGUGUGAGAGCGAGGUCCGUCCUCAGCAUGGACGCUGCAGUGCACACUGUUCCGUGCCAGGUGCUGGCUGACCCUGCCCUGUGGGAGGUGAUGGACAGGCACACAGGGGGAGCCCCGCAAACAAGGGGCCCUGUUACAGCAGAGUGGGAGAGCGCCUGGUAGGACGCCAAGCACCGUGGCCGGGCUGCAGAGAGGCCUGCGGGACUUGUAGACAAGACGUCAUGGAGAAGGCGGAGCUCCCAUGGGCCUUGCAGGUUUCACCAAGCAAGAGCGGAGAAGACACAGGCUGGACAAAGGAAGGUGGACGGGACAGCCAGCCGUGCAGCAGCCUCACAGGACACAGCUACCAGACAGAGAGCACCAGCUGACACUCAUUCCUCCAGCACCAGGAAAUGCCACAGCAGAAGAGAGUCUUCAAGAUGGGCCAGACCCACUUCUGCAGCAUGGUUGCUGGGAGCCUGCACAGGCCAGGCAUUUCUCUACAGGUCAGCAGAGCUGCAGCAAGAUCCCAGGUCCUGACCCAAGGCAGUCCUGACCCAUGGUCUAUCCCCACCGGCCCUUCCCUGGAGCUGUGCCUCAGCUGGGGAGGUACUUCUGGAAGGCAGGUGGAGGAGGUCCAGUUGCUCUUCAGAACUCAAAAUCCCAUCUCUGCAGGUCUCAGCCAAUCCUGCUCCCGCCUGUUUUUAUUUCCUGCCCAGAGCAAGUACAGAACCGAGGGCCAUCGAUGGGCGAGAAAUCACUGUGCCUCCAAGCUGUAUUUUUCACCGUAACAAGUCAUUACUUCUGUGCCCGGAGUCAUUUCUCAGGAUCUUAAUGCAUUCGUUUAUCAAUCAAUACUUAACUGAUGUCUAUAAAGCAUGUUCAAAAUCAGAGGUGAGAGCAGCUCACCAGGUACCGACUUCGUGUCUGGAGCCACCUUGUUAAGGAGCAACCCUUGGCACGGGUCCCGUGUCUGCACCCUCGGGAGCUCUGGGUGGGUGCACUGGGGUCCUCACAGCCCUUCCCACCACCGCAGAUG
rnacentral:lncRNA from 1 species